rnacentral:rRNA from 1 species
UACGGAGGGUGCAAGCGUUGCUCGGAAUCAUUGGGCGUAAAGCGUACGCAGGCUGUUCGUUAAGUCGGGUGUGAAAGCCCGGGGCUCAACCCCGGAACUGCGCCCGAAACUGGCGAGCUUGAGUGCGGGAGAGGAAAGCGGAAUUCCUGGUGUAGAGGUGAAAUUCGUAGAUAUUGGGAAGAACACCGAUGGCGAAGGCAGCCAUCUGGACCGACACUGACGCUGAGGCGCGAAAGCGUGGGGAGCAAACAGG